UGCGAUUUUACCUUUCAUUUACACGAAAACGGAGGUUUUUAUCACUGAAAACAAUUAUUUCUGAAAACUUCUGAAAAGCCAAAGUGGAUAUGUGGGAAAACUCCGCAGUUAGCUGGUUGGU